rnacentral:rRNA from 1 species
AGCCGCGAGGCAGAGCAAAUCUCAAAAAGCCGUCCCAGUUCGGAUUGCAGGCUGCAACCCGCCUGCAUGAAGUUGGAAUCGCUAGUAAUCGCGGAUCAGCAUGCCGCGGUGAAUACGUUCCCGGGCCUUGCACACACCGCCCGUCACACCAUGAGAGUCGGGAACACCCGAAGUCCGUAGUCUGACCGCAAGGGGACGCGGCCGAAGGUGGGUUCGAUAAUUGGGGUGAAGUCGUAACAAGGUAUC